GGGCGCUUAGCUCAGUAGUAGAGCGCUACAUUGGCAUUGUAGAGGCCGCGGGUGCGAUUCCCGCAGCGUCCA
rnacentral:tRNA from 1 species